rnacentral:rRNA from 1 species
AAAGUGGAGCAAUCCAUGAGUAGAGUGGCAAACGGGUGAGUAACGCGUGGGCGACCUACCUCUGAGUGGGGGAUAACCUUCCGAAAGGAGGGCUAAUACCGCAUGACAUCCCGUGUUUGGAUACACGGACAUCAAAGCCGGGGAUCGCAAGACCUGGCGCUUGGAGAGGGGCCCGCGUCCGAUUAGCUAGUUGGUGAGGUAAUGGCUCACCAAGGCUCCGAUCGGUAUCCGGCCUGAGAGGGCGGACGGACACACUGGAACUGAGACACGGUCCAGACUCCUACGGGAGGCAGCAGUGGGGAAUUGUUCGCAAUGGGCGCAAGCCUGACGACGCAACGCCGCGUGGAGGAUGAAGACUUUCGGGUCGUAAACUCCUUUCGACCGAGAUGAAUUCCCGCCGACCUAACACGUCGGCGGGGUGACAGUAUCGAGGGAAGAAGCCCCGGCUAACUCCGUGCCAGCAGCCGCGGUAAUACGGGGGGGGCAAGCGUUGUUCGGAAUUACUGGGCGUAAAGGGUUUGUAGGUGGCUUGCUAAGUCAGACGUGAAAUCCCUCAGCUUAACUGGGGAACUGCGUCUGAGACUGGCGAGCUUGAGUGCAGGAGAGGAACGCGGAAUUCCAGGUGUAGCGGUGAAAUGCGUAGAUAUCUGGAGGAACACCGGUGGCGAAGGCGGCGUUCUGGACUGCAACUGACACUGAAAAACGAAAGCCAGGGGAGCAAACGGGAUUAGAUACCCCGGUAGUCCUGGCCCCAAACGAUGAAUGCUUGGUGUGGCGGGUAUCGAU